UCAAAUACAAAAACUAUGCAAAAUCUUUUUUCGGACCUAAACUGUUACCUCUUACAACCAAUCAUCUUCUGCCAGCCAGUCCUUCAAACUCAGCAAAACAAAAAUAGUUACUGAUCUAAAUAAACAUAAGGUGUUUACUAAAUGUGUGCACCCAAAUUAGUAAACAACCUAAUGCAAUAACCACCACCAAAGAAAAAGUUAAAUUCUAAUUAUAUUAUAUGAAAUACUUAAA